CCUGCACGAAGCCGGAGUUGCUAGUAAUCGCGAAUCAGAAUGUCGCGGUGAAUGCGUUCCCGGGUCUUGUACACACCGCCCGUCACACCAUGGAAGUUGGGGGUGCCCAAAGCCGGCAAGCAAAUAUGCUGUCUAAGGCAAAACCAAUGACUGGGGUGAAGUCGUAACAAGGUAAC
rnacentral:rRNA from 1 species